ACCCCCAAUCCCGAAACCCUCCGCCGUUCUCUCCCUCCCCUCCCCUCCCCUCUCACCUCUCCUCUCUCGGCGCGGGUUCCGGCCGGAGCUGCCGCCGGAGGGCGGUGGCGGCAGCGGCCCUCCCCUCCGGAUCUGGCGAGACGGCUACGUCCGCGGCUAGAUCCGGCACCGCCGCCGUCGGAUCUGGCGACCUGAGAAGGCGGCACGGAGGGUGGAGGCGGCGGCGGCCCUCUCCUCCGUCGUCGUCGCCGUGGUGCGACUUCCCACUGUUCCCGACCCCCUAGAUUGGAUAAGGAGGGGAGGAGGGCGGAGGGGAGGGUGAAGGAAGUUUUGGAGGGUGGCUACGCCGGGAGGGGGAUGGCGGUGGCCACCGCGGCCCCUACCCCAGCCGCGGCCUCCCAUCCACCUGCGCCCGCGCCGUACGGAAGCGACGGCAACGGCGUGCUCCGGCGCUCGCCCUCCCCCUCUUCCCACCACCCUCUCCUCCUCGGCCGCGCCUCCUGCCAACGUCCCCACCUCGCGCAGAUUGGGGGAAGUGGAUUCGGCAGGGAGGCAUGCCCACAUGGAGGUCGUCGACGCGGAGGAGCUCGCGGCCCUCGACGGCAACGCCUACAGUGCGGAGUUUGCCGGCGCGGGGAGCAGCAGGGCGGCGACUGCCGUCCUCCCCGCCUCGCACAGCCCUCCGCCUGCUCCGCUCUUCCCUCCUCGCCGAACCGAUGGCGCCGGCUGUCGUCCCCUACCUCACGGACGGCAGGGCACCGGGAAGGACUGAUCGUGCCGAUCCGACCUCUCCGACGGGAAGGGAGGGGCCAUAUGGCUGGGCUGCAGUCGAUUCGUGGGAACGACGGCGAGGCCGGAGGUAGUGCUAUCGAGCGGGUGGACGGUCGCCGCGGCUACCGCAGCUCGCGUCAUCGGCGGAUCCGGUGCCGUUGACCACCCUCCCCCCAGCCUCGCUCCACCUGUCGGCGUCGUUACUCCCGGCGCUCUUCCUCCGUCCGCGCCCUCCUCCUCCACUGUCGAGUUUGGUUGUUGGUGCCGGCCUCGCCGUCCUUCUGAGCCGGCCGGCGCGUUGGUUGGGCGUUGCGGGCGAGACGAUGCGUUCGUCUGACAUGCUGCGCACUGCCUCGCUGUCCACACCAUCGGCCCCGGUCUCACGUUGCUCAAUCCUCGUCCUGGAUGGACGCUCUCGGGGUCACUGCCCCCGUUGUUUGGGUCUGCGCGGUGGUCGUCACCAUUUUUUUUCGGGCUGCGCGUGGUCCUCACCGAAGCUCCUGGAACACGUCGUCGACUCAAGUGCCUUGCCUUCACCCACCACCAAUGCAGUUUGGUUUCAGCCUGAGCCUUCUCUUCUUUUUCUUUCGUUUUUUCUAUGUUUCUAUAUCAUUCACUCUUUGAGCUGUCACUGGACAGUAAUGGUUUGUGUAUUCUUCUCGCUGCCAAAAAGUCACUGACGAUUUGCAUUCUGCAUUGAAGAACCAAAGCAGGAAAGUGUGUGCAUCAUUUCUACAUUACUGCUACUGAAGAUUUAGAUAACCAUUACAAUCUUGAGGUUGAAGAUGAUAGUUGAGGAAUACUGGUUGCCAAUCCUGUCACUGCUGUAUGGCUCUUCCUCAACCUGCGUUGGUGGAAGAAUGCAGUUUUGGAUGCAUGAAGUAACCAAUUGUUACCUUAAUAAGUAUUGUGGUUUGAUGAAGAAAAUUUACUCACAGCUCACCCCCUUUUUUUUUUCUCUUGGCUUUUAUUCUUGUGGUGAUGUUUUUACUGGAUGCUCGUCAGUGAGGCAUGUGGUUUCCGAAUUUGUUGGCAGAAAUAUAGUUUUGCUCCUUGAUGUUCAACUUUUAAUCAUCUAUUAAUAUUGUCAAAAUGAAUCUGUCUAUCUUAUUAGGCAAAAGGAUAAGGUAAUGACACAUUUUUUGUUUCAAUUUUCCAAAUAAGUAUCAAGUUGUUGAUGUUUAAAGAACUCUUGUUCGGUAUUUUGACAAAUCAUGAAUAAUUCCAGUCCUUGCAUUAGUGAACGAUUCUGAAGCUACGCCAAAAGGAUCUCUAAUUGGCGAGAAGAUCCCAACCAACUUUCCUAUUGACCUUCUUGAGUGUAUUGUUCCAUUGCAUUUGUAUGUAAUACUGCAGAAUUUUGGACAGAAAAUCAUGUAGCAUGUUGGCACCUUGGAAUACACGACAAAUGAGCAGGAGCAGUCAGCAGACAUUUUGUUAUUGCUUUCAUUUGUGACCUCUUUCUUUAUCAAGAAGAAGACAAAUCAGUUACUCUGUCCAGUCGUAUUUGGAGUCUGAAAAUAUGGACACCGAUCCUUGAAUGCCGUUGCUGUAGAUGACCAUACAACAUAAUGUAACUCACUGUUUUUUUUUCAAGUUGUGUAAUGCAAUUCACUGUAUGGUAGUAUAUUA